GCCCCUUUAGUUCAGUGGUUGUCACGCCGCUAAACAAAUCACUUCAGUUUCGAGGUGGUCGAGGGUUCGAAUCCCUCCGGGGCA